UUGGGUCGCACAACUUAUUUAAAUAAAUCAAGUUAAGAAUUAUGAUGGAAAGGGUGUUUUUAAACACCAGAUCAUAUAAAUCAGCAGAUAUUGGAGUUGGAUAACAAAAACUUUAAUGGUGGAGGAUGAAUUACUAACUCUUCUCCUGUAAGGGGUGGUCAUAGGGAAAUUAUACAAAUAAAUCAUUGUCAACCGCGAGAUCUUAAGCCCCUUUCUGUUAGGCUCACUGUUAUAAGAGUGGGACCGAGUGAAUAAGUGUGAAUAGCCCCUCCCCCCCACGAGGCGAGUGGACCUCCGGCACGAAGCUCUCCCGUUUCCGAUGCUGCACCUCUGCAGAAAAUGGGCCCGGGGACUUGCCUGGGUGACGAUAGACCGCCAAAUCACUCCGUCUGGUGGUGAGUUAACCAGGACUCCGCUGAUUUAAAAUAAUAAAUAUUUAUUUGAGAUUCUAAUCUGCUCAUGCGGGAUUGGGAAAACUGACGAAGCUCCGACAACUAUUUUUUUCUUAAGGAAAAUGGUCAGUGUUUGAGCUCUUAUCUAAGAAAAUAUCUUCAUGACAUAUUUGUAAACGAACAAAUAGUGGCAAUUUCCUGAGCUUCUUAUCACCGACCCAAGUUCGUAAACCAAAACUUGGACAAAGUUCAAGGUUGUAAAGACAGAAUAUGCAAAACAAAAGCUAUAGGAUUAUAAGCCUGUGUUUGGGAACACCUUUUGAUGUUAAAAAUUAUAUAUAUAUUUUUUAAUUUAUCAAAUUUUAUUUAUUUAUUUAUUUUGGAAAAUAAGUGAUUUCUUUUAAGCAAAACUGGUGUUUGUGAGAAUCGAUCUAAACGUUCCUUUGGAUGAUAACUUCAAUAUCAUUGAUGAUACUAGGAUCCGUGCUGCUGUUCCCACCAUCAAGUAUUUGAUAAAUCAUGGCGCUAGAGUUAUUCUUUCCACCCACUUGGUAUUUAUACUUUGCAAUCCCCUGAUUUACUGAUUUUUACUAGUUUCAUAUUUCUUGCUUCUAGUUGCAAAUGUUAUCGUGCUGUUUAAUGCUAAUGCUAAUUGCUUCCGUGUUAAUUUGAACUUGUAUAGCAUAUAGCUCUGUAGAUUUAUAUGUACAUCACUUUAUUAUUAUAUUUCUAAACUUGGCUAUCAGAUAUUUGCGGUUUUGUUUCCAUAUUCAUUUUAGUUUCUAAAUUGCGGCUAUAUGCAUGCAAGCAGAUUUCUUUUCAUUCCUAUAAACUUUGUAGCUUUUCUUACGAAGUUCUGAUUUUUAUUUUGUCGUUUCAUUUUUCUGUUUGCUUGUCGGAUUAUGCAUAAAUGUUUCUUUGAUGUAAAUGCAAUUCAGUUUCACUGUUAAGAUUUGCAAUCUCUUACAACAUUUUACCUAUCAGCUUCCCUUUCCCUGAUUUUGAAUUGGUCUUUGGAGUCUUAGAUUUUUCUUUCAGUUUCUCGUAUUGGAUCAGCUCUCUGUUUGUGUCUGCAAUAUGCUCUUUAAACAUACACUGUUGGCUGCCUGCAUAUAUUGUAUGUUUUCUUGGCGCCAUUGCUGUAUGAAUUAGAGUAAUAUGGUUUUGCUUAUGCUUUCUGGACAAAUUCUCAAAUUUGGUCCCUGGGAGAGGGAAGGUAAAUAGAGAGACAAACAUAAGUAUCAUAAUACUGCAAUUCUCAUUGUAUUUUGACUGGCAUCAAAUUCACUUGUUAAGUUGAUCUAAGUAGGCAAUAGGCUCAUAACUGACCUAACCGUU
rnacentral:lncRNA from 1 species